ACGACAGGCAGUGCCCGAACUCUAGGCUGGGAGUUGUGCCAUGCUGCUGCUUUCGUGGGCUGACCAGAAAAGGGUAGAAGGAUUGACGUUUACGAAGUUUUUGAAUCAGGAGGCAAGGUCGCCUUGUGCCCCCAAAAGGAUAGAAAAAGGCCUGGCAAACUGGAGAAUCGCGUCCUUACGGUAUCCUGUGUUUUCCAGUUGAAAGCUUGUGAAAAUUCGCUUUAUCCUUGAAGUUCAGAAUUUUCACCAGGAUGUAUGAAGACCCUGUCCUCGAUGGAUCAGCUGGCACCACCCAGAUGGAUAAACUGGCUCAUCUGAUCUUGUGGCCCCCAUCCAGGAAGUGACUCAGUGUAAGAAGACAGCUUCAACUCCCUAUGAUUUCAUCUCUGACCAAUCAGCACUCUCGGCUCACUGGCUUCCUCCAACCCACCAAUUUGUUCUUUUUUUUUUUGAGACCAAGUCUCACCUGUCGCCCAGGCUGGAGUGCAGUGGCGUGAUCUCUGCUCACAGCAACCUCCGCCUCCUAGGUUCAAGCAAUUCUCCUGCCCCAGCCUCCCGAGUAGCUGGGAUUACAGGUGUGCGACUCCAUGCCCGGCUAACUUUUGCAUUUUUAGUAGAGACAGGGUUUCACCAUGUUGGUCAGGCUGGUCUCAAACUUCUGACCUCGUGACCCACCCGCCUCGGCCUCCCAAAGUGCUGGGAUUACAGGCAUGGGCCACUGCGCCCAGCCAAUUUGUUCUUAAAAACUCUGAUCCC
rnacentral:lncRNA from 1 species